CGCUGGCGGCGUGCUUAACACAUGCAAGUCGAGCGAUGAAGUUUCCUUCGGGAAAUGGAUUAGCGGCGGACGGGUGAGUAACACAUGGGUAACCUGCCUCAUAGAGUGGAAUAGCCUUCCGAAAGGGAGAUUAAUACCGCAUAACGUUGAAAGAUGGCAUCAUCAUUCAACCAAAGGAGCAAUCCGCUAUGAGAUGGACCCGCGGCGCAUUAGCUAGUUGGUGGGGUAACGGCCUACCAAGGCGACGAUGCGUAGCCGACCUGAGAGGGUGAUCGGCCACAUUGGGACUGAGACACGGCCCAGACUCCUACGGGAGGCAGCAGUGGGGAAUAUUGCACAAUGGGGGAAACCCUGAUGCAGCAACGCCGCGUGAGUGAUGAAGGUUUUCGGAUCGUAAAGCUCUGUCUUUGGGGAAGAUAAUGACGGUACCCAAGGAGGAAGCCACGGCUAACUACGUGCCAGCAGCCACGGUAAUACGUAGGUGGCAAGCGUUAUCCGGAUUUACUGGGCGUAAAGGGAGCGUAGGCGGAUGAUUAAGUGGGAUGUGAAAUACCCGGGCUCAACUUGGGUGCUGCAUUCCAAACUGGUUAUCUAGAGUGCAGGAGAGGAGAGUGGAAUUCCUAGUGUAGCGGUGAAAUGCGUAGA
rnacentral:rRNA from 1 species